rnacentral:lncRNA from 1 species
AAGUACAAUAAGAGCUUGGUUAAUUUUGCAUAUUGUUAUUUCUGAACAUACUAACCGCUAGACAAGACAAACACAAAGACGCAAAAUCUAAGAUUACACACGAUAAAAAUCAAAUCAAACAGAACACCAAAACUUGGUGAUCAAGGUUCUUGCAUGCACGUCACAAGAAGAAUUUAUUACUAGACAUCAUUAUCCAUUCUUUGGCAUGAUGCUAGAGCGCAACUCUAUUCACAAACCACGCAAACACAAUGGUGGUUAAAAAAAGUGCCGCCGCAGUAGGCUUUCUUGACAUGGUUCCACACAUGCUUGCAACAGGAAUGACAUGUGAAACCCAUGCACAACAUGCGCUUGCAAUGGUGACUGUGCUCUUCGCAAUGCUCUGCAGACAACAUACAUACAUCAGUAAAUGAAUUCCAAAUUAAAAGGGUCCAAAGAAAUUUGUACCGUGAGUUAACAAUAUUCAUGAUGAUUUUUUGUACUCUCGUUGGAAGGAAACAAGAAACACACACUUAUUAUAAAGAACAGGGAUACCGAUUUCGUACCAGCGUGAGUGGGAUUUCCUAGCAGCACCAACGCCAUAAGGCAAAGCAGAAUAGUUUUGUCCCCCAUAAGAUCAAGCACAAACUUCCUCUUUUUCUCGUUUCUAGUAUUUGGACUUCAGGAUGCAUACCUGAAGUGCUAUAUUUAGAGACUUAUUAUAGAGAACAUUUGUUCCUAGUUCACUCAAACAAGAUCAAAAAGAUCUCCGACUGUAUCAUCGUCAGGGCAG